GACAAGGAAGGCACGAAUAUUGUCGUCCAUCAUGAACAUAUUUCAACGAAAUAGGACAAACCGUCAGGAGAACCAUCCCAGUGAUGAGCGUGAGGAAGAAGGGCCGCGUCGACAGCAGCGAGCAGGACAUCAUGCACGCAGGCUGAGACGUCUAUGUCAAAAUGUAUUUUGCUGUGUCAA